UGGGGAAUCUUAGACAAUGGGGGAAACCCUGAUCUAGCCAUGCCGCGUGAGUGAUGAAGGCCUUAGGGUUGUAAAGCUCUUUCAGCUGGGAAGAUAAUGACGGUACCAGCAGAAGAAGCCCCGGCUAACUCCGUGCCAGCAGCCGCGGUAAUACGGAGGGGGCUAGCGUUGUUCGGAAUUACUGGGCGUAAAGCGCACGUAGGCGGACUGGAAAGUUGGAGGUGAAAUCCCAGGGCUCAACCUUGGAACUGCCUUCAAAACUAUCAGUCUGGAGUUCGAGAGAGGUGAGUGGAAUUGCGAGUGUAGAGGUGAAAUUCGUAGAUAUUCGCAGGAACACCAGUGGCGAAGGCGGCUCACUGGCUCGAUACUGACGCUGAGGUGCGAAAGUGUGGGGAGCAAACA
rnacentral:rRNA from 1 species